CCCGUCCUUUUCUAAUCUGCUGCAAACGGUUUUCGGCUGGUGGGCUCGACGUCGUGUUCGUCCCUGAGCAGAUGGGCGGCGUGACGUUCGGCGGCUGCCUAGGUCUCGAGCGGCGCCGUGGUUGGUGAUGGUUCCAUGACGGUGCAGGCUUAACGGUGUGAGCUCUCCGGGUUCUUGGAUACCAGGAAACGCAGCGGGGAUGCAACGACUACGAACUCUUCCUGCCCCGGCGACGGCGGUGCUGCUCCAUCUCGCCGGGUACGUCGAUGUCACGAAGCGUUCCACGCGCUUCGCUGCGCCAUCUUGUGAAAGAUGCAGUGCUUCCAAGAUUUAUAUCAAAGAGAGGCACAAAGAUGCAGUGCUUCCAAGCUGAUAUGCAAUGCUUUAUAGUAUGCCUUAUACGGUAAGAGUAUUUCCCCAUUCUCUAAUCCACACCUUAACUCAUUGGUUGUGAAUUUAUAGCAGCAACAGUUGAUGGACUUAGAAAAGUAUGCUCCUGAACCUGCAAACAACAAUUAACAUAGACACUUAGGAGCAUCCUAACUGCCUCACAUGAGCAGCAAAUAGAUUACAUAGGCAGUUAUCCUACAUAUCAAUUUUUGUACACGAUUAUUGAGAAGAGUAUGAUUUCUCAAAUGGGUUUGAUCCUCUCCAAAGGAAGCUUCACGGUACAAAUUUUUUUUUGAGGUGUGAAAGAGCAGAUUUAGCCAAAUCGCUCCUGGGGCUUUCUACCCCAGGGAGCUUAGUGAUUUAGGUGAUAUAGUAUACAUUUACAUUGCAUUGCCAAAUUUUUUUUACAAUGAAUACCCAGCACCAAAUUCCUGGCCACUGAACAUACAGGGUAACUUGUAUUACUUCUAUAGUUCAGUCCACUUCGAUUCUUACUAUUUAUUCAAGUUUCUGUUAUUUACAAACAAUGCUUCAACCAUUGUUGUUUGUGUUCGCGUUAUGACGUGUUGUGGCCUAAGGUGAGCUCGAGCCUGAACCCAUUAGUUUCGAUUCUACUACUUUUCUCGUAUAAGAUUUCAUGGUCAAGUUAAUUUUCAUUGCUCCAAACCUAGCAUUUGCAGUUGCUUGUUUCAGAAAUACAGGUUUUGCGUCAGAUUUCGGCCGUCAAGGUAAAUCCUUCCAGCUGUUGCGUAUUAUGGGCUUACUAUCUGUGCAGUCGUCUCAUAGAGUUACCACGACCCUAAUUUUCUAUGGAAUUUUCCUCCAUUCACCUUUUAUAUUUCCUUCAGAAACUCGAUCAGUUUUUUGGGAGGUCAGGUCCACUUAUAAGCAUUUGUGUAUUACAGGUUGAUAUUCUAAAGAUGCUUGUAAGGUGCCUUAUCUAUAUUAUUUUACUGAUGCUGACUAAUCAAAGACUGCCUACACAACUUGUCUUGUAUAAAUAAAAGAAAAAGUUGGCUCACUGACGCAUCAACUUCCUGAUCCACAUUUGCAGGCAUAUACAGUGCAGGAGGAUACAGAUAUGGGCACAACAAUGGAGCUAAUACUUCUACGAACAUGGUCAAUCCCUAAGAACAUUUUUGUUACAAAAGCUGGAUUUCGCUAAGACUGGAGGUGUCAACCUAAAUGCACAUAUAUCACACGGAAUGACAGCAGUCGAAAACCAUUUUAUCUGCAUUGUAUAAUUUUCCACACAGAUUAAUUACAAUAUUUAUUCUAUGUGCAUGAGUCCGCGCUUUGUGACA